rnacentral:rRNA from 1 species
UACGUAGGUGGCAAGCGUUUGUCCGGAUUUAUUGGGUUUAAAGGGUGCGUAGGCGGUUUUGUAAGUCAGUGGUGAAAUACUCCAGCUUAACUGGAGGGGUGCCAAUGAUACUGCAGAACUUGAGUACAGAUGAGGUAGGCGGAAUUGACGGUGUAGCGGUGAAAUGCAUAGAUAUCGUCAAGAACACCGAUAGCGAAGGCAGCUUACUGGGCUGUAACUGACGCUGAGGCACGAAAGUGUGGGGGAUCAAACAGG